rnacentral:rRNA from 1 species
GACGAACCGCGCGAACGUUGUUCGGAAUCACUGGGCUUAAAGGGCGCGUAGGCGGGCUGUCAAGUUUGGGGUGAAAUCCUCCGGCUUAACCGGAGAAUGGCCUCAAAUACUGACGGUCUCGAGGGGGAUAGGGGCAUGCGGAACUAGGGGUGGAGCGGUGAAAUGCGUUGAUAUCCUUAGGAACUCCGGUGGCGAAGGCGGCAUGCUGGAUCCCUUCUGACGCUGAGGCGCGAAAGCCAGGGGAGCAAACGGG